UUGCGGGUUCCUGCCUUGCUGUUUGCAGCUGCCAUGAACUGCAGCCCUGCCAUGCCACCCUGUAUGACUUGGAGCCAACUGAGUAUGGACUGAAACCUCCAAAAACUUGACCCCCAGCCAUGCGGACCUUCUCCUUCCUCACUGACCUUUUCCUGCUGGCCCUGCUGGCCCAUGCUGAACCUCUCCCAGAGAAAACUGAGGAUGUCCCAGAAGAGCAUGACUCAGAGGAAGAAGACCACGAUAUGACCAUCUCCUAUGACCAGGCUGAGGGCUCUGGUCCUCAAGACGUAGGUCAUCAAAAUACCGUCCACUUGCUAUUGAAGACAAGGUGGCUGUCGAGACCAGAAGAGGAACCUGCCUCAUGGGCAACAAGGAGAGAGCCUUGUGCUGUAGCUGAGCAUCCACAGCAGAGACAAGACCUCCUUCCACGUCCCCACAGUUUCUACUCUCCACUUGUCCCGCAUGUUCAUUCUCAGAUAAAUACCUUUCAGCAA